rnacentral:rRNA from 1 species
AGUAACGAUAAAGCGGGUGAAAAGCCCGCUCGCCGGAAGACCAAGGGUUCCUGUCCAACGUUAAUCGGGGCAGGGUGAGUCGACCCCUAAGGCGAGGCCGAAAGGCGUAGUCGAUGGGAAACAGGUUAAUAUUCCUGUACUUGGUGUUACUGCGAAGGGGGGACGGAGAAGGCUAUGUUGGCCGGGCGACGGUUGUCCCGGUUUAAGCGUGUAGGCUGGUUUUCCAGGCAAAUCCGGAAAAUCAAGGCUGAGGCGUGAUGACGAGGCACUACGGUGCUGAAGCAACAAAUGCCCUGCUUCCAGGAAAAGCCUCUAAGCAUCAGGUAACAUCAAAUCGUACCCCAAACCGACACAGGUGGUCAGGUAGAGAAUACCAAGGCGCUUGAGAGAACUCGGGUGAAGGAACUAGGCAAAAUGGUGCCGUAACUUCGGGAGAAGGCACGCUGAUAUGUAGGUGAAGUCCCUCGCGGAUGGAGCUGAAAUCAGUCGAAGAUACCAGCUGGCUGCAACUGUUUAUUAAAAACACAGCACUGUGCAAACACGAAAGUGGACGUAUACGGUGUGACGCCUGCCCGGUGCCGGAAGGUUAAUUGAUGGGGUCAGCGCAAGCGAAGCUCUUGAUCGAAGCCCCGGUAAACGGCGGCCGUAACUAUAACGGUCCUAAGGUAGCGAAAUUCCUUGUCGGGUAAGUUCCGACCUGCACGAAUGGCGUAAUGAUGGCCAGGCUGUCUCCACCCGAGACUCAGUGAAAUUGAACUCGCUGUGAAGAUGCAGUGUACCCGCGGCAAGACGGAAAGACCCCGUGAACCUUUACUAUAGCUUGACACUGAACAUUGAGCCUUGAUGUGUAGGAUAGGUGGGAGGCUUUGAAGUGUGGACGCCAGUCUGCAUGGAGCCGACCUUGAAAUACCACCCUUUAAUGUUUGAUGUUCUAACGUUGGCCCCUGAUCGGGGUUGCGGACAGUGUCUGGUGGGUAGUUUGACUGGGGCGGUCUCCUCCUAAAGAGUAACGGAGGAGCACGAAGGUUGGCUAAUCCUGGUCGGACAUCAGGAGGUUAGUGCAAUGGCAUAAGCCAGCUUGACUGCGAGCGUGACGGCGCGAGCAGGUGCGAAAGCAGGUCAUAGUGAUCCGGUGGUUCUGAAUGGAAGGGCCAUCGCUCAACGGAUAAAAGGUACUCCGGGGAUAACAGGCUGAUACCGCCCAAGAGUUCAUAUCGACGGCGGUGUUUGGCACCUCGAUGUCGGCUCAUCACAUCCUGGGGCUGAAGUAGGUCCCAAGGGUAUGGCUGUUCGCCAUUUAAAGUGGUACGCGAGCUGGGUUUAGAACGUCGUGAGACAGUUCGGUCCCUAUCUGCCGUGGGCGCUGGAGAACUGAGGGGGGCUGCUCCUAGUACGAGAGGACCGGAGUGGACGCAUCACUGGUGUUCGGGUUGUCAUGCCAAUGGCACUGCCCGGUAGCUAAAUGCGGAAGAGAUAAGUGCUGAAAGCAUCUAAGCACGAAACUUGCCCCGAGAUGAGUUCUCCCUGACUCCCUGAGAGUCCUGAAGGAACGUUGAAGACGACGACGUUGAUAGGCC